rnacentral:rRNA from 1 species
AACGAACGCUGGCGGCAUGCCUAACACAUGCAAGUCGAACGAAACCUUCGGUUUUAGUGUCCCCCGGUUGCGUACCGCGUGGGAACCUGCCCUUAGGUUCGGCUUAACUCCCCGAUAGGGUUGCUAAUCCCGGAUAAUUUCUUCGUACCAAUGAUUUAUCGCCUUUGGAUGGGGCCGCGUUGGAUUAGCUAGUUGUUAGGGUAAAAGCAUACCACGGCGACGAGCCGUAGCUGGUUUGAGAGGCUGAUCAGCCAGACUGGGACUGAGACACGGCCCAGACGCGUACGGGAGGCAGCAGUGGGGAAUAUUGGAGAAGGGGCGAAAGCCUGAUACAGCAAGGCCGGGUGAGUGAUGAAGGCGUUAGGGUUGGAAAGCUCUUUGAGCCGGGAUGAUAAUGACAGUACCGGGAGAAUAAGCACCGGCUAACUCCGUG